GACGAACGCUGGCGGCGUGCCUAAUACAUGCAAGUCGAACGGUCUUUUCUAUGGAAGCUUGCUUCCGCUGAGAAGAUAGUGGCGAACGGGUGAGUAACACGUGGGUAACCUGCCCAUAAGAGGGGGAUAACAUCCGGAAACGGGUGCUAAUACCGCAUAGGUUUCUUGGUCGCAUGAUCGAGAAAGGAAGACGGCCUUUGUGCUGUCGCUUAUGGAUGGACCCGCGGCGUAUUAGUUAGUUGGUGAGGUAAGAGCCCACCAAGGCGACGAUCAGUAGCCGGCCUGAGAGGAUGAUCAGCCACACUGGGAUUGAGAACGGCCCAGACUCCUACGGGAGCAGCAGUAAGGG
rnacentral:rRNA from 1 species